GACGAACGCUGGCGGCGUGCUUAACACAUGCAAGUCGAACGGAAAGGCCCUGAUUUUGUGGGGUGCUCGAGUGGCGAACGGGUGAGUAAAACGUGAGGAAACUGGCCUGUACUCUGGGAUAAAUUCAGGAAAAAGGGGCUAAUACAGGAUAGGAGCUCCUGCAGCAUGGUGUGGGUUGGAAAGGUUCGGUGGAUGGGGAUGGACUGGCGGCGUAUCAGCUAGUUGGUGGGGUAGUGGCUGACCAAGGCUUUGAGGGGUAGCCGGCCUGAGAGGGUGACCGGCCCCAUUGGGCCAGAGGAGGCGGCCGGACUGCAACGGGGGGCAGCGGUGCGAGAUAGUGCGCGAUACGCGGAGGCAGGAUGCAGCAUCUCCGCGUCCUAGAUGUCUGCUUUCAGGGUAUAACCCGCAUUCGCCUGUAACGUAGAGUGCUUGACGGUAACGAGUAAGAAAGCACCGGCUAACUACGUG
rnacentral:rRNA from 1 species